rnacentral:rRNA from 1 species
UACGGAAGGCAGCAGUGGGGAAUAUUGCACAAUGGGCGCAAGCCUGAUGCAGCCAUGCCGCGUGUAUGAAGAAGGCCUUCGGGUUGUAAAGUACUUUCAGUCGUGAGGAAGGUGUUAAGGUUAAUAACCUUAGCAAUUGACGUUAGCGACAGAAGAAGCACCGGCUAACUCCGUGCCAGCAGCCGCGGUAAUACGGAGGGUGCGAGCGUUAAUCGGAAUUACUGGGCGUAAAGGGCACGCAGGCGGUUAAUUAAGUUGGAUGUGAAAUCCCCGGGCUUAACCUGGGAAUGGCAUUCAAGACUGGUUAGCUAGAGUCUUGUAGAGGGGGUAGAAUUCCAUGUGUAGCGGUGAAAUGCGUAGAGAUGUGGAGGAAUACCGGUGGGCGAAGGCGGCCCCUGGGACAAAGGACUGACGCUCAUGUGCGAAAGCGUGGGGAGCAAA